AUGCACAGAGCCAAUUCAGAUUCAUCUGCCGGGAGCAAAACGUCCCAAAACAGAGGAUCAGGAGCAGAUGGUGAGGAUCAAACGAGGCAUGCGGAGCAGCCUACUGGGACACGUGUGUGGGCCACUUUACUGAACACCAUCUCUAAUGCUCAGCCACUUCUGAUCACCAAUCACGGUACUGAGGAAUCUAGACCAAGGAAAGAUUCCUUGCUUCAGAAGAGAUCACUUUUAGAGUCUGAUAGCGGUCUGGCAUGGACUGUCCUGUGGGUUUUCAGAUGUCGGUACAGACCGGCCCAACUUAACAUUGUACAUAUGGCUCAUCAGCUGGAAGAAGUUGAGAUCUGCCGGAAAUAUGUCCUGGAGCAGGUGUCUAGAUUGCCUCAACGUGAAUCUAGUGCAGGACGCUCUACAGAGCUUGAGCUGAGCAUAGAGGGCAGAUGGAACAGAGUACUGCUGGAUACCUCAACCAUGGUGGAGUUCAAAAAGGCACAGCUCCAGCUGGUCACACAGUACCACCUGCAAAAACAGGUUCUCACGGAUACUCUACACAACCUGGAGGCUGAGCUCAACACAAUGACACCGGAUUGCAUUGACAGCAGCACCUUACAAGUAGAGAAGCUGAAUGUAUUCCUGAAGAACAUGCAGAAGAAGAAAGGCACACUAGAGGAGCUCCUACAGACAUGCUCUCAGAUUUCAGCCCAUCUGGGUGAGGCAGAGGGACCUGUGGCCUUCAUUGAACCUUUUAGGACUUUACAGGAGAGAUGGCAAACUAUAGAGCGGGUUGCCUCCAGCAGUCUGUGGUGUGCUAACAUCUGCACAGCAGAAGUAUCUGCACUCCUGCAAGAAGCCAGAGAUCUGCACCAUGAACUGGUGCUUCUGGAGAAGUCAGUUUCUCUUCCACAUCCCUCUCAAGGACAGAUGGACUGCCGAAGUGAGCUACAAGAAACUGUCAGAACUGCAGACCUGGCAGCAUUAACAGAGCUCUACUUAUACCUUCUUGAGGUCUCUCAGGCUCUUUCCUCAAGUCCGCUGGGAAAAAAAGAGCUCAGAGAUAUGGAGGACGCAAUGCAGGGCUUGAAUUCUCAGCUUGCGUUGACUCAGGAGAAGCUCAGCUCCCAGACUUCGAAUGGCAAUGGCUGUUCACCGAUCUCGAGGAUUAUCAAGGACUACGUUACAUGGGCUAAACAAACAGAAAGCAAAGUCAGCAGGAGUAGGAGGUUGGCUCUGUUUCCUGAAGAGGCAAGUCACCAGGUCAACCACAUGAAGAAACUGCAGUCUGAAACAUCUCUUAAGAAGAUUCAGUUGGCCUCUGUAUUGAAAGAGCUAAGAGAGGAAGUUACAGGACUCGACAAGGAGGAUUCAAUGUCUCCCAUCCUUGCUUCCCUAGAGGAUUUGUACGUUAAGAUUACAGAGAAGACCGAAUGUGCUGUUGCAGAAAUGAACAGAAUGUUUCAAAUAAGAGAGAGACUGUGGAAACAGAUCACUGACAGCAGCUCUUGGUUAACCUCAGUAUUAGAAAAAGGGUCUGGUAAAACAGUGGCUUCUAAACCUAAAACUACAAUCCCAGAAUUGAGGGUUCAGCUUCAGGUAUGCACAGAGGCUUUGAAGGAAGCCGAGAGACAAGCAAAUAACUUAGAGACUCUGUUAGAUGAAAUAAAAAAUGUGAAUCACGGUCUGAGUGUACCCGAAAGCUUUCAGCUUAUGAAUAGGCUAACAGCCUUACAAGAAGAGGUCUCUAGGGUUGUGAACCGUAAGUGGGCCUUGCACUGGGUGCUUGAAGAACUCCUUCAUGCUCAGGAAUCUUCUGCUGAGGAGCAAAACGUCAUUCUGAAGAGCUUGAGACAGAUGAGUGCUGAUGUCAUGAGGCAGAAGUAUCCCGUAACAAGGGACUCACUCUUGGCUCUUGAACCUGUUCAGCACAUCCUGAUGGAGCUCCUGUGCAAGGUGCCAGAAAUUCCACACUGCCCGGAUUCUCGGAGGAAAGAGAUGCUCAACGCUGUACUAGACCUACAGAGGAGAAUGGAUCUGCUGGAGUUGCAAGCGAAAGAUCAUGAGGAGUACCUCAUUUUAAGGCAGUACAUGGAGAACUCCAGAGAGGUGGUGAAGAAGAGCUGGUCGCAGAUUGUAGACUCAAGUGUAGGAGCUAACAUAAGGCUCGGCUAUUGUCAGGCUGUCUUAGUGGAGCUAGCUCUGGUGAGAAUGACAUGUCAAGAAGCCACUGACCACCUUGAGGCUAUUUCGAAAGAUCUCUAUCCAUCUCAGCUGACAGCAGAAAGGCAAAAAAUCCAUUUGGUCAUUGAGCAGCUCUCCUCUUGGGAGCUCACAGUAAAAAAUGAGGCUAAAACCCUUGAGUGCUCUCUGGCGGAGCGACUCGGCAGUCCUGCAGACCUCAGUCCAUUCACUGAGCUCUUCAUCAGUGUCAGGCAGCAGCUGAAGCAGAGCAUCUCCUUGGAGCCAGAUAAUGAGACCACUGAUGCAGAGCUACGCAAGCACUGGAUGCGAAUCCAGACCACUGAGUCUGUUCUACGAAUGCUGGAGCACUGCAGGAAAGCAGUAGAUGCUGAAAGCUACCAGAUGACCAUUGGUCUUGGCCAGAAAACUCUUAAUGAUUACGGUAUGCAUAUGGACAAGCUGCUCCAAGCUCGGGAGGCACUGAAGCGUUACCACUCGGCUGUUCAGGGUGCAGAGAUCUUCUUUCAGCAGAUAAGAUCCAAUCUCAUGAUCCCCUCUGAUGGCUUCAAAGGCUACAAAGAGGAGCAUCGCUAUAUUCAACAGAUUUUCAGCACUCUGGUUGAGGGUUUCCAGACCCGCUUGUCUGAAGUUGGUGCUUCUGUUCCCCAGCAGACAUGCCUCUCCAUCCCUUUAACUGAGCAGCUUCAUAUAAAGGUUUUGUGUCACCUUCUAGUACAAGAUGCCAAAUUAGAAGCUCAGGCUCAGCUCAGACUUGAGGCCUUACAGAGGUCCAUGAAAGACCAAAUUGUUCACAUGAGUCACCAUGAAGAAAUGAGCCAACUUCUCAAAAAUGUUGAUUCUCAAAUCUCUAGUCAAUGCUUAAGUCAAAAACUGGCUGAUUCCGAAGCCUGCCAAGAUCAACAGCUGAAAGUACAGUUGCUCCAGACAGAGCUAAAGAACCUCGCUAAAAGGCUUGAGGAAUUGAGGGAAAGUUGCCCAGGUCUACGCUGCAAAGCACCUGUGGAUCUGAUGCUGGGACAGCUGUGGAGGUCUUGGGCAGUGCUGCAGUGGAGAGUAGAAUCACUCAAAGCCAGCACGUCUCAUAAAGAAGCAGAGUGGAGAGACUUUGUGAUGCGUGUAUGUAAAAAUAGAUUUUAUUUAAUUGUUUUAUUUUAUUCAUUUCUUUUUCACCUUGUUAAAAAUGUAAUUUCCUUAUAA
ensembl:lncRNA